rnacentral:tRNA from 1 species
GCGGAUAUGGCGGAACUGGCAGACGCGCUAGAUUCAGGUUCUAGUGAAAGCAAUUUCGUGCAGGUUCGAUUCCUGUUAUCCGCA